AGCGAACGCUGGCGGCAGGCUUAACACAUGCAAGUCGAACGCAUCACUUCGGUGGUGAGUGGCAGACGGGUGAGUAACACGUGGGAACGUACCCUUCGAUCUGGGAUAACUUCGGGGAAACUGGGGCUAAUACCGGAUACGCCCUUUUGGGGAAAGGUUUACUGUCGAAGGAUCGGCCCGCGUCUGAUUAGCUAGUUGGUGGGGUAACGGCCUACCAAGGCGACGAUCAGUAGCUGGUCUGAGAGGAUGAUCAGCCACACUGGGACUGAGACACGGCCCAGACUCCUACGGGAGGCAGCAGUGGGGAAUAUUGGACAAUGGGCGCAAGCCUGAUCCAGCCAUGCCGCGUGAGUGAUGAAGGCCUUAGGGUUGUAAAGCUCUUUUGUCCGGGACGAUAAUGACGGUACCGGAAGAAUAAGCCCCGGCUAACUUCGUG
rnacentral:rRNA from 1 species